GGGGAUUUAGCUCAGUGGCAUAAGCACCUGCCUUGCAAGCAGGCAGUAGGAGAGUUCGAUCCCCG
rnacentral:tRNA from 1 species